rnacentral:rRNA from 1 species
AUUGAACGCUGGCGGCAUGCCUUACACAUGCAAGUCGAACGGUAACGGGCCUUCGGGUGCCGACGAGUGGCGAACGGGUGAGUAAUACAUCGGAACAUGCCCAGUAGUGGGGGAUAACGUAGCGAAAGUUACGCUAAUACCGCAUACGACCUAAGGGUGAAAGCGGGGGAUCGCAAGACCUCGCGCUAUUGGAGUGGCCGAUGGCUGAUUAGCUAGUUGGUGAGGUAAAGGCUCACCAAGGCGACGAUCAGUAGCUGGUCUGAGAGGACGAUCAGCCACACUGGGACUGAGACACGGCCCAGACUCCUACGGAGGCAGCAGUGGGGAAUUUUGGACAAUGGACGCAAGUCUGAUCCAGCAAUGCCGCGUGAGUGAAGAAGGCCUUGGGUUGUUAAAGGCUCUUUAUUCGGAAGAAUGCUGCAGGGCUAAUACCCUCGCAGCA